rnacentral:rRNA from 1 species
UGAACUGCAGGACACAUGAACAUCGACAAAUCGAACGCAUAUUGCGGCCUUUGUCUCUGACUUAGGCCACGCCUGGCGGAGGGUCGG